rnacentral:rRNA from 1 species
UACAGAGGGUGCGAGCGUUGUCCGGAAUCACUGGGCGUAAAGGGCGCGUAGGCGGCCUGAUAAGUAGGGGGUGAAAUCCUGUGGCUUAACGGCAGGGCUGCCUCCUAGACUGUUAGGCUCGAGCACGGUAGAGGCAGAUGGAAUUCCCGGUGUAGCGGUGGAAUGCGUAGAGAUCGGGAAGAACAUCGGUGGCGAAGGCGGUCUGCUGGGCCGUUGCUGACGCUGAGGCGCGACAGCGUGGGGAGCAAACAGG